ensembl:lncRNA
GUGACAGGUAGCCUAGUGGUGAAGUGGCAGGUAGCCUAGUGGUUAAGUGACAGGUAGCCUAGUGGUGAAGUGACAGGUAGCCUAGUGGUGAAGUGACAGGUAGCCUAGUGGUUAAGUGACAGGUAGCCUAGUGGUUAAGUGACAGGUAGCCUAGUGGUUAAGUGACAGGUAGCCUAGUGGUUAAGUGACAGGUAGCCUAGUGGUGAAGUGGCUGGUAGCCUACGGGUUAAGUGACAGGUAGCCUAGUGGUGAAGUGGCAGGUAGCCUAGUGGUGAAGUGGCAGGUAGCCUAGUGGUGAAGUGGCAGGUAGCCUAGUGGUGAAGUGGCAGGUAGCCUAGUGGUGAAGUGGC